rnacentral:tRNA from 1 species
GGUUGUAUGGUGUAGAGGUUAUCACUUCAGAUUUUGAUGCGUUCAGAAAUUCUGGAAACCCCGGUUCGAGUCCGGGUACGACCU